rnacentral:tRNA from 1 species
GGCGGCAUAGUGCUUCGACGUCCGGGUCGAAGAUCCUCGCUUAUCGACUCAUAAUCGACAGGUCCUUGGUUCGAGUCCAAGCGGCGCCU